GCCACUGACUCUCCCCUGUGGCCUCUUGGGAAGACCUCUGUGCCCAAUUUUGGACGGCUGUACUUGCUAUAUUCAUGUGUUUACACCUCAAUCUCCUGGGAACAAUUCGGCUCUCUCAAAGAAAUGCCAAGGAAAGAGCUUCCCCUUCUCCACUCCCUACCUCUCCUCUACAAGGAAGGAAGAGAAGUAUCUCCUCUGCAGGUGAAGAAACUAAAACCUCGAGAUCAAGAGACCUUCCCAAAGGUCACACUGCUAAAAAAACCGCAGCCAGACCCUCUCAUACUGCCACAGUGUAGAGAAGAUGGAGUCUCACUGUGUCGUCCAGGC